rnacentral:misc_RNA from 1 species
AUUGUAAAGGAGAAUACAUUAAUAUAAAUCCAAGCAAUUUAUUGUGUUUGCAAGAUGUUCAAACUUUUAAAGAGCUUCUUAAAGGAAUUAAUAAACCCCAUAUCUUGGAGCCCAAAUGUAAGCGUUUUUCGCCAAGGCCACACCAAUUGUUUGGCGAAAGAAGAUCUCUUAAUGAGAAGUUACAUCAACUUAACAAUCUUAUAAAAUGUCGAAAUAAUUGGUACAAACAUUCUUAUCAUUGGGCUGAUGAUGAUCAAGUUAGAGACGCCCUCAACAUCCGGAAGGGGACUAUCGGAAAAUGGGAGAGAUGUGCAACUUUGAAAUUCCAAAAGAUAGUCACUAAUAGCAUACCAUAUCAUGAAAACCUCAGUAGCAAAGGUUACAGAUCUCUUAUAUACAGUGGAGAUCAUGACAAGAUUGUCACCUUUCGAUCAACUCAAGCAUGGAUAAAAUCUCUUAACUAUUCAAUUGUCGAUGAUUGGCGAGCUUGGACUGUUGACAAUCAAGUUGCCGGUUACACAAGAAGUUACUCAAAUCAGAUGACAUUUGCAACAGUGAAGGGAGCAGGGCAUACUGCACCAGAAUAUAAGCCUCGUGAAUGUCUGGCCAUGCUCACAAGGUGGAUGUCUUAUCAGCCCUUGUAAUUGAAAAAUUAUAUAUUAUUUGUAAUUUAUAUGUUGACGACGUAUAAAACAUAUUCGCACUCUAUCGUUAAUAAAUCAUCUCA